CAUUGUAGCUUUAGAUUCUUCAUAUGCUUGUAGAUGGAAAAAAAGAAAUGGGGAGGACAAAAGUAGCGUUAGUUUUUUUAAGAAACACUAUGCAUAUAUAAAAAGGUUCUGAUACGAAAUAAGAUCAGCAAUUACCCAGCUUUCAAAUUUGCACAUAUUUAUGGGUCUAUGGGAAAUCGAGUAUACUUUGCACCUCACUUUAUGUUUUGACCCACAAAGUGAUAUACAGCAAGAGACCGAAUAUUUAUGUUAUAUCUGAUGCAUACCAAUUCACCUUAGCCCAUUUGUCUCAUUUGGAUCAUAAGAAGACAAAAACAGUAACUAAGUAUUCGGACUGAUAUUGGCCGAUUAGGUUCUAUUAGAAAUGGCCAAACAGUCAAAAAUCAAGCCUUUGCGAUGAGCAAAGGUGGUUUUCAAGUAAUUUGGGUCCACAAUUUUGUGAUUUUCUCAUUUUAUGAAAGCUUUGUUUAUGUAAUUACAUUAUGGUUUCCAUUUUUUUUGACAUAUAUUUUUUUCUUUUGUCUCUAGUAUUCAAAUAUGGGUUUAAUUCAAAAUUUUCAUUUUUAGGAUUUUUUUUAAUUAUUCAGUGUCAAGUUAGAAAAUUGAUAUAUUUUUCAUUUCCUAGUCAAAUUGAGAGUUUUUACUAUUAUAAAUAAGGUUAUAUGUUUUAGGGCUAUUUAAUUUUUUUGGGUUGAUUAUUAAUAAAAUUCAAAUAAUAGUUAUCUACGUUGUGUUUGUUCGGGAUUCUUCUUGUUUCUUUGUUCUUCUCUCAUGCGCUUCAUAUAAAGUUUGUGCUUAUAUGAGCAUAAGCAAACAGUAGAACAUUUGACUUUGUUUUCUUAAACAUUAAGGCAAAGAUUAACCUAGUGGUGGCUGUUAAGCUUGUGUGCAUGUCUUUCUAAAUCAUCAAGUUUGGGCAAGGCACUACAAGAGUGAUGAUCUAAGCUUUGGGUUAUGGUCCUUCAGCUUUAUUUGCAUGUGCUACAAGAGUGAUGAUCUAAGCUUUAUUUUUGUGGGUUUUAAGGGUUUGUGGUUAUUCAUGACUGUAUAUGCCCUGCUGUUUGUUAAGAGUUCUCAUUUUUUGUGCUAGAGUUUCAUGUUUGAAAGCCUCAUCAGGAGUUGUAAAUGUAUUGGGAGUUUCAUAUGCUGAAGGUUUCUUUAUCUGUAACUUUUUUCACAUUUUAACAACCAAUACUAUCUUUUUGCUUUGUGGAGUUUGCUUGAUAUGUAUAUAUAGUGCUCUUCGCAGCUAUUCUUUAUCAGAGCACCUUCGGUAGCCUAAAAACUCACCAUAGAACCCAAGUAGUUGUUAAACGUUGUGGCUAGGUAAGUUGUUUCAGCUUGAGGAGGGCUCAUAAUUCUCCAACUAGAGUUUUCAAUUUCCCGUUCCAAUGUCAUCUAUUCCAAUGAUUUCAAUUGUCGAUAGUGUGAUUUGAGUUGGAACAAAUGUUUUUCAUUUUUCCCUUAUUUUUUUAUUUUUGUUCUCGUACUUGUUUCUCCAUGCUACUUCUGGUGGCACGUUAUGGCUUAUCAAAUUUCUUUUUCUUAUACCCAUAUUCAAGCCCGUCUUUUAUACAUGAUGUUUUUAUGGUUGCAAGAGCAAUAUUAGGUAAAUUUUGAGUGUUCAUUAGUGACUAAUUAUGUACUAUACUUCUUUAUUUGUUUUUUCUAAGCCGUUACACAUUGCCUUAGAUAUAGGUUUAUGUGUAGUUUCUUUUUCAGUAAUUUGUAUGCCUCCAUUUUGCAGGUCUACGGGCACAUAGUUUGACAGUUGAUCAUUAUCAAGGAAUUUGUUAAUCUUUAACUUCGAAAGUGUUGUUCUCUCUGUAACUUUGUGGGAUUACCAUUAAGUGAUUUGUUAGACUUUUAAAGGAUGGUCAUUUCCAUAUAUUAUUCCCUACCUUGUGGUUCCAUUGGUGGUAAUAGUUCCACAUUAGAACUCUUAUAUUGCUGCUAUUGUGAGUUGAGAAAAGUUCACAUCUA